rnacentral:rRNA from 1 species
CCUACGGGAGGCAGCAGUGAGGAAUAUUGGUCAAUGGGCGCGAGCCUGAACCAGCCAAGUCGCGUGAGGGAUGAAGGUUCUAUGGAUCGUAAACCUCUUUUAUAAGGGAAUAAAGUGUGGGACGUGUCCUAUUUUGUAUGUACCUUAUGAAUAAGGAUCGGCUAACUCCGUGCCAGCAGCCGCGGUAAUACGGAGGAUCCGAGCGUUAUCCGGAUUUAUUGGGUUUAAAGUGUGCGUAGGGGGCCUUUUAAGUCAGCGGUGAAAGCCUGUGGCUCAACCAUAGAAUUGCCGUUGAAACUGGGGGGCUUGAGUAUGUUUGAGGCAGGCGGAAUGCGAGGUGUAGCGGUGAAAUGCUUAGAUAUCACGCAGAACCCCGAUUGCGAAGGCAGCCUGCCAAGCCAUGACUGACGCUGAUGCACGAAAGCGUGGGGAGCAAACAGGAUUAGAUACCCCUGUAGUC